rnacentral:rRNA from 1 species
AUGUGCAAGUCUGAUGAGGACAUCCAUACCAUUGUUACACCCACAACCCCUGCUACUAUACAUACUGGACCAAUUACUAGAGCUCGCGCACGCCAAUUAAAUUACCAGGUACUUUCGUUUCUUGGUAAUGAUUCUAAUGUUCAUGAGAAUAUGAUGCUGCCUAAAUUGGAUACAUUUGUUUUGCUUACAAAUGAAGGGCCUAGCUUGGAGAAGGAUGAACAUUGGAGCAAGAACAAGCAUGGAGUUGAUGGCAUGCGCAAAGGAGACAAGAACAGAGUUUCAAGUGAUGAUUUCAGGACUUUGAAGCCACCAUAA